UGUUUCGGCAAGGGGGUCAUCCCGACUUACCAACCCGAUGCAAACUGCGAAUACCGGAGAAUGUUAUCACGGGAGACACACGGCGGGUGCUAACGUCCGUCGUGAAGAGGGAAACAACCCAGACCGCCAGCUAAGGUCCCAAAGUCAUGGUUAAGUGGGAAACGAUGUGGGAAGGCCCAGACAGCCAGGAUGUUGGCUUAGAAGCAGCCAUCAUUUAAAGAAAGCGUAAUAGCUCACUGGUCGAGUCGGCCUGCGCGGAAGAUGUAACGGGGCUAAACCAUG
rnacentral:rRNA from 1 species